rnacentral:rRNA from 1 species
AUUGAACGCUGGCGGAAUGCUUUACACAUGCAAGUCGAGCGGCAGCGCGGCCUUCGGGCUGGCGGCGAGCGGCGAACGGGUGAGUAAUGCAUCGGAACAUGCCCAGUCGUGGGGGAUAACACUUCGAAAGAAGUGCUAAUACCGCAUACGUCCUGAGGGGGAAAGCGGGGGAUCGCAAGACCUCGCGCGAUUGGAGUGGCCGAUGUCAGAUUAGCUAGUUGGUGGGGUAAAGGCCUACCAAGGCGACGAUCUGUAGCUGGUUUGAGAGGAUGAUCAGCCACACUGGGACUGAGACACGGCCCAGACUCCUACGGGAGGCAGCAGUGGGGAAUUUUGGACAAUGGGGGCAACCCUGAUCCAGCCAUUCCGCGUGAGUGAAGAAGGCCUUCGGGUUGUAAAGCUCUUUCGGCAGGAACGAAACGGUGGGCUCUAACAUAGUCCGCUAAUGACGGUACCUGAAGAAGAAGCACCGGCUAACUACGUG